rnacentral:rRNA from 1 species
CGAGUGAAGAGGGAAGAGCCCAGCACCGAAGCCUGUGGUUGUUUGAUCACUAGGCAAUGUGGUGUUUAGGUUAGUUCUGCGAAGUCAUUGCUCUACUCUAAGUCCAGUUAUGAAUACGGUCUAUGGACAUGGCCCACAGAGGGUGAAAGGCCCGUGUGAGUAGAGACCUCGGCGGUGACUUCCGGAACCAACCUUGGAGUCGGGUUGUUUGAGAAUGCAGCCCAAAGUGGGUGGUAAACUCCAUCCAAGGCUCAAUACUGGCACGAGUCCGAUAGCGAACAAGUACCGUGAGGGAAAGUUGAAAAGUACUCUGAAGAGAGAGUAAACAGUACGUGAAACCGCUCAGAGGUAAACGGGUAGAGUUGAACUGCAAGUCUGAGAGAUUCAGCUAAUGAGUUUGACUUGAGCUUGGGCAUAUUGAUCUGACUUGAAGGUCUGCUUAGCUGCAGGUACCACUUCGGUGGUAAUACGUGCUGCACUUGUCAAGUGUUGCGUGCUUUCAAGUACGGAGAUCUGCUCGUUAGUGCACUUCUCUCAGAUGUUCACCACGACCGGCACUGCUGUCUGUCUGCUGUGGCUAAACCAGUUGAGCUCGGUCUUCCGACCUUGCCUAAUUGGGAUGGUAGGUAGCUUGUUGACUCUCGGGUUAACAAGUGUAUUAGCCGGUCACAGUGGAGCUGUGCAGUGUGCCGGAGACGGCGGCUGUAAGUGACGCUGAUGCAGGCUUUGUUACCGGAGUUGGAUCUGGUCACCGUGUGUCUGUUCAAGCAGUCCCAGUGAUGGUUCGGCUGUGUGUUGCAGGCUGUUUUUUGCGUUGCUGAUCAAUGAGCCAAUAGUCUGUGGUGUAGUGGUAAGCUCUCUACCCGACCCGUCUUGAAACACGGACCAAGGAGUUUAACAUGUGCGCGAGUCAUUGGGUGUAUGAAACCUAAAGGCGUAAUGAAAGUGAAGGUUCGGCUUGUCCGAGCUUAGGUGAGAUCCGGUCGUUUCCAGUGCGUGGAACUUCCAAGCAUUCGAGCGGCAGGCGCAUCACCGGCCCGUCCCAUGGUGUGGUCAUAACUCCUUGUGGGUUGUGCAUCACCGGGGUGGAGCAUGAGCGUACAUGUUGAGACCCGAAAGAUGGUGAACUAUGCUUGUGCAGGUUGAAGCCAGAGGAAACUCUGGUGGAGGACCGCAGCGAUUCUGACGUGCAAAUCGAUCGUCAAACAUGAGCAUAGGG